ensembl:snRNA U1 U1 spliceosomal RNA
AGUCAGACUUGGCAGGGGAGACACCACUGUCAUGAAGGUGGUUUUCCCUGGAUGAAUCUUAUCCAUUGCACCCUGACUAUGCUGACUCCCGAAAUUUCCCCAAAUGUGGAAAUCUUGACUAUAUAACUUAUAGUAGUAUUCUCCCUUGAAAUAAGAAUU